GAUGAACGCUGGCGGCGUGCCUAAUACAUGCAAGUCGAGCGAACAGACGAGGAGCUUGCUCCUCUGACGUUAGCGGCGGACGGGUGAGUAACACGUGGAUAACCUACCUAUAAGACUGGGAUAACUUCGGGAAACCGGAGCUAAUACCGGAUAAUAUAUUGAACCGCAUGGUUCAAUAGUGAAAGACGGUUUUGCUGUCACUUAUAGAUGGAUCCGCGCCGCAUUAGCUAGUUGGUAAGGUAACGGCCUACCAAGGCAACGAUGCGUAGCCGACCUGAGAGGGUGAUCGGCCACACUGGAACUGGAACACGGUCCAGACUCCUACGGGAGGCAGCAGUAGGGAAUCUUCCGCAAUGGGCGAAAGCCUGACGGAGCAACGCCGCGUGAGUGAUGAAGGUCUUCGGAUCGUGAAACUCUGUUAUUAGGUAAGAACAAAUGUGUAAGUAACUAUACACGUCUUGACGGUACCUAAUCAGAAAGCCACGGCUAACUACGUG
rnacentral:rRNA from 1 species